rnacentral:lncRNA from 1 species
AAAAUGUGUGGAAGAAAAAUAAUAAUAACUAGAUUUGUAAUUGCUAGCAAUAACGGAUGGCACCCUUCCCCUAUUGCCAGGUGAGCGGCGGCCAUUUAGAAAAUUCCAAACUCAAAAGUCAAGUCUACAUAAGCUAGGCAACAUUUGUUAUAAGUUUCCUUAAAUUUGAAGCAUUUUGAAGUUUUUCAUAUUUUUGCUGUUUCCAUGGUAACGGCGGCCAUUUUGAAUAUUCCAAAGUCAAACCCAUGCUGCAUUUUUUGCCCUCCAUAAUAAUAUACCAUUUAAUGUCUCUAGAAUAAAUUUAACAUUGAUGUUCUGGAAUGUUCUGUGAAAAUUCAAAGUUUUGACCUUUUUGCAUUGUUUCCAAGGUAACAACAGAUAUUUUGGAAAUUCCAACGCCAAAUUCCACAUCUUCCAAUGUUGCUCAUCGUUACUGUGAAGUUUCCUGAAGUUUGGAGCAUUUUGAGAAUUUCGAAAUUUUUGGUGUAGUUUCCAUGGCAACAUAGUAGUUCCAAUGAUCACCAAAAUCAUCCAACACCUGUAUAUAGUGGGCACCUACAUUGUAUUAAAAUAUAAUGAUUCUGAGAUAAAGCAUAUCCAAACAGUUCACCAAAACAAAAAACUGGAUUUUUUCACAUUUGUUCUGUUUCCAUGGUAACGGUAGCCAUCUUGAACCAUUCCAUGCUUCCUGCAACUCUGCACCUGGGGGUCCUUACUAUAGUAGAGUUCCAUCAACAUUGGUCCAUUGGAUUUCGAGAAAUCACCUGGACAAAAUUUGUUGCAAGAAAAAUAAUAAUAACUAGAUUUGUAAUUGCUAGCAAUAACGGAUGGCACCCUUCCCCCAUUGCCAGGUGAGCGGCAGCCAUUUUGAAAAUUCCAAAGUCAAAGAGUCAAACUGCAAAUCAGCACAUGCCAGGUACCAAUCCUGUGGAGUUUCUUCCAGUUUGGAGCACUUUGAUUUUUUUCGUAUUUUUGCUGUUUCCAUGGAAACGGCGGCCAUUUUUUACCAUUCCAUAUCAAGGUGCACAACUUCAUAUGGGGGACUUCAUUAUAGUAGAGUUCCAUCAACAUUGGUCCAUUGGAUUCCAAGAACUCGCGCGGAAAAAUGUGUGGAAGAAAAAUAAGAAAAAAAAGAAACGUAGAAUAACAAUACGUCACCCCAACUCCGUUGAGGGUGCCAUAACAAGUAAUCCUGUGUUAGGAUGCUAACACAAAAGUCACCAAAACGGACCCCCAUCAUUGUUUGCGGUAUCAUUGAUGCCAAAUAAUGUGUGUGUAAAGUUUAAUUCAAUAUGAAGAAUUAAAUUUUUUUUGACAUUUUAGCUGUUUCCAUGGCAACGGCGGCC